UAACAAUUUGACAAUCUAGUAGUGUCAACCCUGUGAAUAUGACCCGUGUAUAUAGCAUAUUAAUCCUGAAUACACCGUUUGGUGGUGCGCCUGUCAGAUGCGGAACGUACAAAUAAGGUAAUAGGUAACAGGUGAAUAUACUAUUGGUAUCGGUAUCGGACUCAACCCGGAACUUCUUAAUUAUUGGCAAUAUUAAUUACGUGGAAAACAAAAGGGCCUAGAAUGGUGUAAUUUUUAAUCUACACCUUUGUACUAUAUUAGUUAUAUAUAAAGUUGAAUUCUUUGAUUCGUCGUUUUUACGUGAUGACGGCUGACAAAUUGGAC
rnacentral:lncRNA from 1 species